GCUCACUGCAAGACUCUCUCCUGGAUCUUGGUGUACUAUUUGCUUUCCGUGGCAAGGGGCGUGGACUGCAUGGCUAGGCCCUGCUCAUUUCCCAACCAGUUAUAACAUGAAGGGACAGCAGGCUGAUGAACUCAUGAACCAAUCCAUUUCAGGACGUUGGCCUCAAGCUGGAGUUCGUUUGAGCCCAUGGCAGCAUCAGUGAAACCAAAUAGGUCGGCAGGAGGCAACCAUGGAUGUCCUGUGGCUCCUCUCUCAGCUGACUGACUACAGCCUGUACUAUCUCAUGCACAAUGAGGGCUAUAUGCAGGCUGUGGAGAGCAGGAGAGCCCGGCCAGACCAUUGUUCGUUCAGAUUCUCCCUGAUGGAGCCUAGCCUGACAGUGACCUCACAUCAUGCUAGCCGGCAAUUCAAAGUCGCUCUGCAAGGAGAAUGACGCCAGGUGGUUCGCACAAUGUGUCCAAGAGGAACUGAAUGUUACACUGGAUGCCAGCCGUGCGAGUGCAGGUUUCGUAGUGGCAAAAUGUACCUCAACUGUCCUGUGCUCUAAAUCCAUGGGCCUGGCACUUUCACACUGUGACGAGGAGCUCCUCAACUUGCUCAGUCCUGCAGUUCGUUAGGAGUGGGACAUGUUGGCCAUUCUAGGUGGUUGGCCUAAGCUAGGGUUCGUCUGAGACCAUGGCAGCAUCAGUGACACCCAAAAGUUUGGCAG